GACGAACGCUGGCGGCGUGCUUAACACAUGCAAGUCGAACGCUGAAGACCUGGCUUUUGUUGGGUUGGAUGAGUGGCGAACGGGUGAGUAACACGUGAGUAACCUGCCCUCUUCUUUGGGAUAACGCCCGGAAACGGGUGCUAAUACUGGAUAUUCACUGAUCUUCGCAUGGGGGUUGGUGGAAAGGUUUGUUCUGGUGGGGGAUGGGCUCGCGGCCUAUCAGCUUGUUGGUGGGGUGAUGGCCUACCAAGGCUGUGACGGGUAGCCGGCCUGAGAGGGUGACCGGUCACAUUGGGACUGAGAUACGGCCCAGACUCCUACGGGAGGCAGCAGUGGGGAAUAUUGCACAAUGGGAGAAAGCCUGAUGCAGCGACGCCGCGUGAGGGAUGGAGGCCUUCGGGUUGUAAACCUCUUUCGCUCAUGGUCAAGCCGCAACUGUGGGUUGUGGUGAGGGUAGUGGGUAAAGAAGCGCCGGCUAACUACGUG
rnacentral:rRNA from 1 species